GGAGUCUAGCAUGUGCGCGAGUCAUUGGGACAUUACUAAACCUAAAGGCGCAAUGAAAGUGAAGGUCCGCCUCGCGCGGACCGAGGGAGGAUGGGCGGUCGUUGCGGCUGCCGCCUCGCACUCCCGGGGCGUCUCGUUCUCAUCGCGAGAAGAGGCGCACCAAGAGCGUACACGCUGGGACCCGAAAGAUGGUGAACUAUGCCUGGUCAGGACGAAGUCAGGGGAAACCCUGAUGGAGGUCCGUAGCGAUUCUGACGUGCAAAUCGAUCGUCGGAACUGGGUAUAGGGGCGAAAGACUAAUCGAACCAUCUAGUAGCUGGUUCCCUCCGAAGUUUCCCUCAGGAUAGCUGGCGCUCGUAGCGCACGAGUUUCAUCCGGUAAAGCGAAUGAUUAGAGGCAUUGGGGUCGAAACGGCCUCAACCUAUUCUCAAACUUUAAAUGGGUGAGAUCUCCGGCUUGCUCGAACUAUUGAAGCCGCGAGACUCGAAUCAGAGUGCCAAGUGGGCCAUUUUUGGUAAGCAGAACUGGCGCUGUGGGAUGAACCAAACGCCGAGUUAAAGCGCCUAAAUCGACGCUUAUGGGAUACCAUGAAAGGCGUUGGUAACUUAAGACAUCAGGACGGUGGCCAUGGAAGUC
rnacentral:rRNA from 1 species